GGAGUUUGAUCAUGGCUCAGAUUGAACGCUGGCGGCAGGCCUAACACAUGCAAGUCGAACGGUAACAGGAAACAGCUUGCUGUUUCGCUGACGAGUGGCGGACGGGUGAGUAAUGUCUGGGAAACUGCCUGAUGGAGGGGGAUAACUACUGGAAACGGUAGCUAAUACCGCAUAACGUCGCAAGACCAAAGAGGGGGACCUUCGGGCCUCUUGCCAUCAGAUGUGCCCAGAUGGGAUUAGCUAGUAGGUGGGGUAACGGCUCACCUAGGCGACGAUCCCUAGCUGGUCUGAGAGGAUGACCAGCCACACUGGAACUGAGACACGGUCCUGACUCCUACGGGAGGCAGCAGUGGGGAAUAUUGCACAAUGGGCGCAAGCCUGAUGCAGCCAUGCCGCGUGUAUGAAGAAGGCCUUCGGGUUGUAAAGUACUUUCAGCGGGGAGGAAGGGAGUAAAGUUAAUACCUUUGCUCAUUGACGUUACCCGCAGAAGAAGCACCGGCUAACUCCGUGCCAGCAGCCGCGGUAAUACGGAGGGUGCAAGCGUUAAUCGGAAUUACUGGGCGUAAAGCGCACGCAGGCGGUUUGUUAAGUCAGAUGUGAAAUCCCCGGGCUCAACCUGGGAACUGCAUCUGAUACUGGCAAGCCUGAGUCUCGUAGAGGGGGGUAGAAUUCCAGGUGUAGCGGUGAAAUGCGUAGAGAUCUGGAGGAAUACCGGUGGCGAAGGCGGCCCCCUGGACGAAGACUGACGCUCAGGUGCGAAAGCGUGGGGAGCAAACAGGAUUAGGUACCCUGGUAGUCCACGCCGUAAACGAUGUCGACUUGGAGGUUGUGCCCUUGAGGCGUGGCUUCCGGAGCUAACGCGUUAAGUCGACCGCCUGGGGAGUACGGCCGCAAGGUUAAAACUCAAAUGAAUUGACGGGGGCCCGCACAAGCGGUGGAGCAUGUGGUUUAAUUCGAUGCAACGCGAAGAACCUUACCUGGUCUUGACAUCCACGGAAGUUUUCAGAGAUGAGAAUGUGCCUUCGGGAACCGUGAGACAGGUGCUGCAUGGCUGUCGUCAGCUCGUGUUGUGAAAUGUUGGGUUAAGUCCCGCAACGAGCGCAACCCUUAUCCUUUGUUGCCAGCGGUCCGGCCGGGAACUCAAAGGAGACUGCCAGUGAUAAACUGGAGGAAGGUGGGGAUGACGUCAAGUCAUCAUGGCCCUUACGACCAGGGCUACACACGUGCUACAAUGGCGCAUACAAAGAGAAGCGACCUCGCGAGAGCAAGCGGACCUCAUAAAGUGCGUCGUAGUCCGGAUUGGAGUCUGCAACUCGACUCCAUGAAGUCGGAAUCGCUAGUAAUCGUGGAUCAGAAUGCCACGGUGAAUACGUUCCCGGGCCUUGUACACACCGCCCGUCACACCAUGGGAGUGGGUUGCAAAAGAAGUAGGUAGCUUAACCUUCGGGAGGGCGCUUACCACUUUGUGAUUCAUGACUGGGGUGAAGUCGAAACAAGGUAACCGUAGGGGAACCUGCGGUUG
rnacentral:rRNA from 1 species